rnacentral:rRNA from 1 species
GACGGAGGAUGCAAGUGUUAUCCGGAAUCACUGGGCGUAAAGCGUCUGUAGGUGGUUCGAAAAGUCCACUGUUAAAAAUUGAAGCUUAACUUCAAAGAUGCCGUGGAAACUUUCAAACUAGAGUGUGGUAGGGGUAGAGGGAAUUUCCAGUGGAGCGGUGAAAUGCGUAGAUAUGCGGAGGAACACCGAUGGCGAAGGCAAUCCCCUGGGCCUGCACUGACGCUCAUGCACGAAAGCGUGGGGAGCAAACAGG